GUUUCUGCCUGCAGCUAGACCAGGAAGAAAGGAGACUGAGCAGAGGAAAUGAAAGAGUAAAGGAGAGGAGAGAGUGGGUAGGACACAAAGCUGAGGUGACUGAAGCAGCAGGAAGUAGGCAGGGCAUGAAGAAUUGGGAUUCAAAGCCCUUGAAUUUAGUUCCCAACUUCACUUAUGGGGCAAUGCUCCAAGUCACUCAGUCACCCUGAACUUCAGCUGGAGAAGGGGAACAGGAAUAAUGCCUAUCUUCCAGGAGUGUUCUGCACAAAACUGAAGGCACAGAUGAAAAAGCACUCUGCAAAUUAAAAGAGAAGGAUGGAUAGAGAAAAGCAUCAUUACAAAAGUGAAAUGUGUGAAUUUUAUUCUGGCUUUGAACAUUGAGUAGACGAAGAAGACAAUUCCAGACGGAGGAAACUCCACAAGAAAUAUCAUGGAAAUUUGAAAGAACACAGUGGGCUUGGGAAGAGAGAUCUCAGUGGUGGAAGCACCAUCAUCCCAAGGAGACUUAGGACAUUAUUUGAAGAGAGUUUUCCCCUGAGGAAAGUGCUUCAGAGGAGAAAAUACACCAGUUUGAAAGAAACAGCCACGGUUUGCAUGGUGUUCCAUGGUUUGUUUCUACCUUGCUGUGCAUGACCUCCACUGCUAAGGUCAUUUAUGGCCCAAGAUGAUUACUCCAGCUCCAGCCAUCACAUCUGUAUUCCAUCCUGCAGAAAGGAAGAAAGAAGGUGCUUCCAAGACCAAGAUAACCAGGCAAUCAUAGUAGAUGCAUCAAUGCACCCUUGCCCAAGGGCCUAGACAAGAGGUAUUGUUUAGCUUCGCAUGAAUUUUAUCACCUUGCCUAGAACCAGCCACCAUCUGCCAGGGCUCCUGACUUUUUCUGAAAUGAAUAGACACUAAAGCCUGCUGGGGAAUUUCAUGGAAAUCAAGAUGACUCAACCCAGAGUCCAUUUCAAGGCUAGGAUGCUAGAGGACGCCAACAAAGGAGUAGGGAAGUGAAACGGAUCAGCUCACAUCCAAGCCCUUGCAUGAUCAAUCCUGCAGUAGGAGUGCUGCUCAGUUGGGACUCAUGAGAGCCCGGAAGAGGAAAAAGCAGCUCUAAGCAUAGCAAAGAAGCUGUUAUGGAAAAGACCCAAAUGUUAAAAUGGUGGACAUAGUAAAGUGAUUGGUUCUGCUUAGGGGAAUCUAGAUCCCCACAUUUUGACCUCCACUGGAGUCUCAGAAGAACAAGUGCCAGGGGGGCUUGCCACAGAGGCCAAGGCAGUGAAUGUCAGGCACAUCACAGUCCCCAAGAUGGGGAGAAGACUGAGAUGCAGGGUAACAACUGCAAUCCAUUCAUGGGAGCCAUGUUUAUCUUAAAUCAUUGACAGUGAGAUAAGGAUCAUGUCAGCCUUCAUACCUUUGAUGAUGAUCCCAGGCUGCAACAGUGACACAUAGAACUGGAUUCAGUAACUAACUACAGAUUCCAUCAACCAGGACUAGUAAAGUGAAAGGCAGAAAUUGGGAGGAGGGGUUUCUUUCUUGCUUAUAAAACUUUAUUUGGUUGUGUUGAGUAUGUGCAUGUAUGUAUGAAAUCCCAUAAAGCAGUCUUCUUAGGAACAAGCCAACAUGCCACAAUGUAGGAGAUCUUUGGAGCACUGGCCUAAAUGGCAGAGAGCUCAAGGGACUCUGCUUUGUACAAGGCAUGAUUUGUACCACCACCACUAUCCCUGUUUCAGAGCACUGUUGAAUUGUUCCAAACCUGGAUUUCUAUGUCAGCUCCCUGUCUAUAGUACUUGACUGAUAAAUGCUAGUUUCUGAAAUCUGCUUUGGUUCUAUAAUUUAUUAGACAGCUUUUUCUUCCCAUUUUAUUACUUGUUUUUACUGUCAUUGGUAUAUUAUCUCUUACAGUGAAAACAUUCAUAGGCUGAUUGAAGAGAAGAUCUGAAAUUAUUAGGCAGCAAGCAUACAAAACCCUUGCUUUAUAAAGAUAAUAUCUUAAAGGCCUAAUGUCUAUGGUUCAAAGCAGCCUGGAGAUGUUGGCUAAAUCUUCCAUCAUAGAGUCCUCAUGGGAUCUGGAAGCUCUGAUUUAUCUUCCUUCAGGCCCUAUAAGUUAGCUUUCCACAUCUGUAGGUUCCACAAUCAACCUUGGAUCAAAAACAUUUGAAA
rnacentral:lncRNA from 10 species